GACGAACGCUGGCGGCGUGCCUAACACAUGCAAGUCGAACGAGAAUCAACAUAUAAAGUUUUCGGACAGAUUAGGUUGAGGAAAGUGGCGGACGGGCGAGUAACGCGUGAGAAACCUGCCUUUCACAAAGGGAUAGCCUCGGGAAACUGGGAUUAAUACCUUAUGAUACUUACAUUUCACAUGAGAAGUAAGUUAAAGCGCAAAGCGGUGAAAGAUGGUCUCGCGUCCCAUUAAUUAGUUGGUGAGGUAACAACUCACCAAGACCGCGAUGGGUAGCCGGCCUGAGAGGGUGAACGGCCACACUGGAACUGAGACACGGUCCAGACUCCUACGGGA
rnacentral:rRNA from 1 species